AGAAAAACAAGUACAUGUAGAGUGUCUAGGUGCAGUAUUUAAUCUUAAUAUUAAUACACUAUAGAGUGUCAGAUUAGCUGCCUGGUCUGAUAAUGAAGCAUGAAUAGAAUGUCCAGCCAGUUUUAAUGUACUAUAAAAACCAAAGGUGGGUCAACUCAUGGUAAUUAACCACAAGUGUGUUCAGAGUGGUGCCCUGUUGUGGCAUGUUGCCAUGCUUCUGUAGUUCUACAGGAGUUUUACUGAAGGAUGGCUAUCAACUUCUAUAAUAUUCGUUAUAACAUCAACAUGCUUAUCCAGUUGCGGGACUUGUGGCUGUUCUAGGGAUUCUAUGGGCAUGUACAUGUCGACAAGGCCAUAAUAUAGUCCCAAAACACCUGUAUACUGUAGCUACGUAUACAAUCCAGGAAUUUAGAAUAAAGGUGUGAGGACUUCAGGUCUAGCGCUAGGUUGAAGAACAUCAAUAGGAGCCGGAACUUGUCUUGUCUCCUGAACAAUGAAACCAGGAUUGGAAAAUGGCAGGCUGCUGCUGUUGAGCAUAAAUG